UGGGGAAUAUUGGGCAAUGGGCGAAAGCCUGACCCAGCGACGCCGCGUGGGUGAUGAAGGCCUUCGGGUUGUAAAACCCUUUCGUGCGGAAAGAAUAGUCCUGUAGCGAAUAACUACGGGAUUUGACGGUACCGCAGGAAGAAGCACCGGCUAACUCCGUGCCAGCAGCCGCGGUAAUACGGAGGGUGCAAGCGUUGUUCGGAAUUAUUGGGCGUAAAGGGCGCGUAGGUGGUUGUGAUAGUCAGAUGUGAAAUCCUUCGGCUCAACCGAAGAACUGCAUCUGAAACUUCAUAGCUCGAGUACAGGAGAGGGAGACGGAAUUCCCGGUGUAGAGGUGAAAUUCGUAGAUAUCGGGAGGAACACCAGUGGCGAAGGCGGUUUCCUGGCCUGAUACUGACGCUGAGGCGCGAAAGCGUGGGGAGCAAACAGGAU
rnacentral:rRNA from 1 species